rnacentral:rRNA from 1 species
UGGGGAAUAUUGCACAAUGGGCGCAAGCCUGAUGCAGCCAUGCCGCGUGUAUGAAGAAGGCCUUCGGGUUGUAAAGUACUUUCAGCGGGGAGGAAGGCGAUAAGGUUAAUAACCUUGUCGAUUGACGUUAACCGCAGAAGAAGCACCGGCUAACUCCGUGCCAGCAGCCGCGGUAAUACGGAGGGUGCAUGCGUUAAUCGGAAUUACUGGGCGUAAAGCGCACGCAGGCGGUCUGUCAAGUCGGAUGUGAAAUCCCCGGGCUCAACCUGGGAACUGCAUUCGAAACUGGCAGGCUAGAGUCUUGUAGAGGGGGGUAGAAUUCCAGGUGUAGCGGUGAAAUGCGUAGAGAUCUGGAGGAAUACCGGUGGCGAAGGCGGCCCCCUGGACAAAGACUGACGCUCAGGUGCGAAAGCGUGGGGAGCAAACA